rnacentral:rRNA from 1 species
GAUGAACGCUGGCGGCGUGCCUAAUACAUGCAAGUCGAGCGAACGGACGAGAAGCUUGCUUCUCUGAUGUUAGCGGCGGACGGGUUAGUAACACGUGGAUAACCUACCUAUAAGACUGGGAUAAAUUCGGGAAACCGGAGCUAAUACCGGAUAAUAUUUUGAACCGCAUGGUUCAAACAUGAAAGACGGUCUUGCUGUCACUUAUAGAUGGAUCCGCGCUGCAUUAGCUAGUUGGUAAGGUAACGGCUUACCAAGACAACGAUGCAUAGCCGACCUGAGAGGGUGAUCGGCCACACUGGAAUUGAGACACGGUCCAGACUCCUACGGGAGGCAGCAGUAGGGAAUCUUCCGCAAAGGGCGAAAGCCUGACGGAGCAACGCCGCGGGAGUGAUGAAGGUCUUCGGAUCGUAAAACUCUGUUAGUAGGGAAGAACAUAUGUGUAAGUAACUGUGCACAUCUUGACGGUACCUAAUCAGAAAGCCACGGCUAACUACGUG